UACGUAGGGGCCAAGCGUUGUCCGGAAUUAUUGGGCGUAAAGGGCGCGUAGGCGGUUUGUUAAGUCGGAUGUUAAAUCUGCAGGCUCAACCUGCAGCCGCAUCCGAUACUGGCAGGCUGGAGAAUGGUAGAGGAAAGCGGAACUUUCGGUGUAGCGGUGAAAUGCGUAGAUAUCGAAAGGAACACCAGUGGCGAAGGCGGCUUUCUGGGCCAUUUCUGACGCUGAAGCGCGAAAGCCAGGGGAGCAAACGGG
rnacentral:rRNA from 1 species